GGAGAGUCUGUCCGAUAUACUUUCAAGCAUGGGCACUGCAUUGUUCCUGCUAUUCCUUUAUCUCAAAUUGCAGGAAACUAUAGCUUCUUAGCUAUCCAUUCUCGCCAUUCAAACCUUAGUCUGAAUGUUGAGGUUCAUGUCAAACCUACUAUACCAAAUCCAAAAGUGGAGCAUGAUGGAAAAAACUUCUCCACGGUCAUUGAAAAUAAUAAAAAGGUCUUUGAAGAGGACCUGUUAAAAAUUGGCUCUGUAGUCCGAAUAUUGGAAGAAAAAUAUGUCAAGCUAAAUGAAGAGAAGGAAAAAAUUGAGCAAACUAUGAAAAAAUUGCAUGGUUUUGACUGGCUAGCACAUCUAUAGCUAUUCUUUUUUAUCUGCUGGAAUCAUUGUAAAAAUGUUUUGACAUAUCUAAAGAAUCUACUUGACCAAAUCGACCAUUUAAUUUUGUGACACUGACAUGUCCUUCCAUGCUAGAUAGUAUACCUGGGCGCACUCACUCGGCUUUUAAAAAUUAUUGUAGUGAUGAGACGACACCCUU